rnacentral:rRNA from 1 species
CCCAGACUCCUACGGGAGGCAGCAGUGGGGAAUAUUGCACAAUGGGGGAAACCCUGAUGCAGCAACGCCGCGUGAGUGAAGAAGUCAUUCGUGAUGUAAAGCUCUAUCAGCAGGGAAGAAAAUGACGGUACCUGGCCAAGAAGCCCCGGCUAACUACGUGCCAGCAGCCGCGGUAAUACGUAGGGGGCAAGCGUUAUCCGGAUUUACUGGGUGUAAAGGGAGCGUAGACGGCAAGGCAAGUCUGGAGUGAAAGCCCGUGGCCCAACCACGGGACUGCUUUGGAAACUGUGUUGCUGGAGUGCAGGAGGGGUAAGCGGAAUUCCUAGUGUAGCGGUGAAAUGCGUAGAUAUUAGGAGGAACACCGGUGGCGAAGGCGGCCUGCUGGACUGCGACUGACGUUGAGGCUCGAAAGCAUGGGGAGCGAACAGGAUUAGAUACCCCUGUA